UUAAGAUAACCAAAUUUCUUCCCCUUAAGGACCCAGCGUGAACUGGUGGCAAACAGCAGUCUCCUGGGUAGUGUAUGAAACCUGUUACCUAUACAAGUGGCCUUAUGAUACCUUGUAGAGAAUU
rnacentral:snoRNA from 1 species